rnacentral:rRNA from 1 species
UAUAUUAUGGGUGUUUUUUGUUGUUAUUGUAUUAUAUUAAAUUGGUAUUAUGGGUGAUUGUUAUGUGAUUUCUAUAGUUUAUGAGUACUGUGAGGGAAUUAUUUUAUUUUUAUUAAAUUUAGGUUUUUUAAUACCUUUUGUAUUAGGGUUCUUUUAUGCUAAUUUAUAUUAAUAUUUUCUCGAUGAAUAUUGGGCUAUUUUAUUAGGUUAAAUCUCGUUGUAUAGAGUUUUUUAUAGUAAAAUAGUUAUGAAAUAUUAUUCAAGUUAUUUUAUAUCUAGUUUUCUUAGAGGUAUAAUAGAGUAUGUGUUUGUAUUGUAGUUAUGUAGGGAUUAGCUUAUAUAUUGUCUAUAUAGUAUUUUUAUUGUUAUUUAUUUGUGAUGUUAAAAGUUCUUAUUUUUAUGGUGUUAUUACUGAAUAAGUUAUGUAAAUUAUUUUUUUUGUUUAUGUUGUGAUAAGGAGUGUUGUACUAAUUUAGUUUAUUGUGGUAUAAUGAUGAUAUUAGUAAUUUUUGUAUUUAUUUUUGUUUAUUUAGAUUGUUUAAUUUAGAUUGGUAGUUAAUUAAUUAAUUAUGAAGAAUUAGGCAAAGAUAGACUUUUGACUGUUUAGCAAAAACAUUGUUUUUUGUUUGAGUAAAAAAUAAUUUCUGCCCACUGCUGUUAUGGUAAAGGGCUGCAGUAUUUUGACUGUAUGAAGGUAGCAUAAUCAUUAGCUUUUUAAUUGUGAGCUGGUAUGAAGGGUAAACAGAGGUUUGCUGUUUUGUUUUUAUUUAGUGAAUUUUAUUUUUGUGUGAAAAAUCAUAAGUGAAAUAGUGGGACAAGAAGACCCUAGUAAGUUUUAUUUUUUAUUUGUUAAUGCGUAUAUAGGUGUGUAUUUAUAUAAUUUAAUAUAUGAAGUUUGGCUGGGGCGGUAGAUUAUUAAACUUAAUUUAUUAUUUAACUUUAUUGUUGACGGUUAUUUGACCUAGUGGGUUUAGUUGAGUGAAAAAUUACUGUAGGGAUAACAGCGUAAUUUUUUUUAAGAGUUCUUAUUAACGGAAAAGUUUGCGACCUCGAUG